rnacentral:rRNA from 1 species
AAAGCGUGCGCAGGCGGUUUUGUAAGUCUGAUGUGAAAUCCCCGGGCUCAACCUGGGAAUUGCAUUGGAGACUGCAAGGCUAGAAUCUGGCAGAGGGGGGUAGAAUUCCACGUGUAGCAGUGAAAUGCGUAGAUAUGCGGAGGAACACCGAUGGCGAAGGCAAUCCCCUGGACCUGUACUGACGCUCAUGCACGAAAGCGUGGGGAGCAAACAGGAUUAGAUACCCGAGU